AUGGAUUUAAACCCAUCUAUGUUAUGUUGGAACAUGCGAGGGCUUAACAACCCUGCGAAAAGGAAGGCGGUCAGGGAGUUCAUCGCUUCGGUGAAAUGUAACAUAGUAUGUCUACAGGAGACCAAAAUGGAUGUAUUUGACUCGUACCUUGUUAUGCAAUGUAUCGACCAAUAUUUUGAUGGGUUUUCUUACCUCUCGUCGACUGAGACACGUGGUGGCAUCCUACUCGUGUCGGAUUCAACUAGGUUUACGGUGGAAAACGUGGCCUUCGACACACAUUGUUUAACCGGACUUGUGUGCAACAAAGACGAGCAACACUGGUGGAUCUCUGUGGUGUAUGGCCCUCAAGGGGAUGAUGAUAAGAUUGAAUUCCUGGAGGAACUCAAGAGGAUAAGAGGGGUCUGCCAUGGCCAAUGGAUGCUCUUGGGUGACUUUAAUAUGAUCCUUCGUGCUUCGGAGAAGAAUAAUGCCAAUGUUAAUCGGCGUAUUAUGAAAAAGUUCAAGGCCUUUGUGGAUGAGAUGGAGCUCAAGGAGCUAUAUAUGCACGAGAGGCGAUUCACUUGGACUAACGAACGGGACUGUCCGACUCUAACAAAGAUCGACAGGGUGCUUGUUUCGGUUGACUGGGACUUGGCAAAAGCGGGUUGCUUACUGCAAGCGCUUGCAACUGGCGUGUCGGACCAUGCCCGCUGCACUUGUGCACCAACGUGA
rnacentral:rRNA from 1 species